GAUGAACGCUGGCUACAGGCUUAACACAUGCAAGUCGUGGGGAAACGGCAUUAUGUGCUUGCACAUUCUGGACGUCGACCGGCGCACGGGUGAGUAUCGCGUAUCCAACCUGCCCCUUACUUGGGGAUACCCCGUUGAAAGACGGCCUAAUACCCGAUGUGUUUCAUUGACGGCAUCCGAUAUGAAACAAAGGUUUUCCGGUAAGGGAUGGGGAUGCGUCUGAUUAGCUUGUUGGCGGGGCAACGGCCCACCAAGGCGACGAUCAGUAGGGGUUCUGAGAGGAAGGUCCCCCACAUUGGAACUGAGACACGGUCCAAACUCCUACGGGAGGCAGCAGUGAGGAAUAUUGGUCAAUGGACGCAAGUCUGAACCAGCCAAGUAGCGUGCAGGAUGACGGCCCUAUGGGUUGUAAACUGCUUUUAUGUGGGAAUAAAGUGGCGCACAUGUGCGCCAUUGCAUGUACCUCAUGAAUAAGGACCGGCUAAUUCCGUGCCAGCAGCCGCGGUAAUACGGAAGGUCCGGGCGUUAUCCGGAUUUAUUGGGUUUAAAGGGAGUGUAGGCGGUCUGUUAAGCGUGUUGUGAAAUUUAGGUGCUCAACAUUUAACUUGCAGCGCGAACUGUCAGACUUGAGUACACGCAGCGCAGGCGGAAUUCAUGGUGUAGCGGUGAAAUGCUUAGAUAUCAUGAGGAACUCCGAUCGCGAAGGCAGCCUGCGGGAGUGUUACUGACGCUUAAGCUCGAAGGUGCGGGUAUCGAACAGG
rnacentral:rRNA from 1 species